rnacentral:rRNA from 1 species
GACGAACGCUGGCGGCGUGCUUAACACAUGCAAGUCGAACGGAGCGAAAUGGAAGCUUGCUUCUAUGGAGCUUAGUGGCGAACGGGUGAGUAACGCGUAAUCAACCUGCCCUUCAGAGGGGGACAACAGUUGGAAACGACUGCUAAUACCGCAUAAGCCCACGACCCGGCAUCGGGUUGAGGGAAAAGGAGCAAUCCGCUUUGAGAUGGCCUCGCGUCCGAUUAGCUGGUUGGUGAGGUAACGGCCCACCAAGGCGACGAUCGGUAGCCGGACUGAGAGGUUGAACGGCCACGUUGGGACUGAGACACGGCCCAG